GUCUGGCUGGCUCAGUCAGUAGAGCACAUGUGACUCUUGAUCUCGGGGUUGUGAGUUCGAUCCUCACGUUGAGCA
rnacentral:tRNA from 1 species